AACUACAGACUGAUAGGAGGAACCAAAGAGCCCAGUAAAGACAAUUCUCAAGAAGACUUUGGAGAACCUGACGGCCGUGAUCAGAUACGGAUUUGGAAUAGAUGAGGAUGUCACUGAGAAAUGGAUCGUGGGGACUGUAUACAGAUGGAUGACCAAGGACGGUGAACAUCAGAAGGACUAAGCACAAGGCCGCCCAGACCAGUGAACCCAUGACCAAUUCAAGGGACUGCUGAGCUAAAGAACAAUAGAUGCCCGAACUAAAACCUCUACGGGAUGUUAAAGAUCUAAAGAGUUCAAAGGAAAUGAAACAGAACUGGGUUGGAAUAAAACAGACUCAUGGGGAAGAUACUGUUAGCAUACACCAUUACACAUAUUUGUUACACAACUUAUAUACAAUACAACAUGGGUGGCCCACACACAGUUAACACACUAGGAACACAUGUGAAUGGGCAUGAAUGUGUGAGACAGUAUGAGUGAGACUGAGAGUAUGAAUGACAAUAUGAGUGUGCGUGAAUGAGUACAAGCAUUAAAGCAAUCAAUUCCUUGCUUAUUAUGAUUAGUAUUUCAAUCACACAAUCACUGAUUAUAUGUGCACUAUGGACACUUCUUCAUAAUUGUCAUCAAGAUUAUGUAUCAAUGUUGAAGUAUUAGCCAUCACCAUGAAUGUCUGAUUUGGUCACUGUGGAUCCAUGAUUGUGUUACAUUUGUGCCGUAUCAGGGAAUAUUGGCGCUCGCCCAUGGCGAGCGGGGACCAUAAGGUAAGGUUUCCCUGGAAAUAA